UGGCCAUAGACAAACAACGGAUGUGAUGCCGUCACCUCCAUAUUGACCUGCAAAAGAAAGGGGGGAAUACUUAAGGGUCUACAAAUUGAUAUCAAAUACGUGUAUCCACCUUUAAAUGCUGCGUUCCAUAGCUGAAGCUGAAAAUGCGGACUACGCAGCGCCGAUUGUAUAAAGUCCUCCGUACGAAUGUCCUCCACACGGCGCAUCACACCUGUGGAUAGCUCAAUGUAGGAGCCCUUGUGGAAGCAACUUUUAUCGUGCGAUUGUUGACUCAUCGUGUUGCAUCUGCAUCGUUGUACUCAUAUUCAGCUCUGACGAUCUGUUCCUCGGGAGUUGCAAUUGAAGACUGAAGUUCAUUCAAAUGAGCGCGCAGAUUUCCAUGGAUUUUCCACGAACAUUGCCCAUUCGCCAUUCCGCAUUCGCGCCUAGCGUCACUUGUCGUUACCUGUUUACUUUAUGACCCAAUCCAACUCCCACUCAAGGCCAGGUAGAGAGACGGAGGUUAGCUACCUAAAUUUCCGCUUAAUUUCCAUUGUCCAUUUGGCCCUCUGGCUGUUGCGCCAGGCGCCUUGGACAGACAUACACACACACACACACACACACACAGAGACAUUGUUUUUGCUAGUAGAUAUACAAAGUGUAAAAGAUUUAUUUGGUUUUACGUUUGCGUUUCGCUGCCGAGAAUUUCACUUGCGGCGCACGGCGUUUGGUCAAACUCGGCCAACUUGGCCACGCAAUGUCCAAAGCAUAGAUGUAGUAACGCACAAAGAAAUACAACACGCCCAGCGAUGAAUACAAUGAGGUGAGCAGCAGCGGCAUAAACGGCAAUUGCUGAUGGACGCCAAACAAGCGACUAAACAAGUGCUCGUACAGUGGAAUGGUGAGGAAGCCCAGGAAAUAGAUGCACUCGAGUAGGUGGAGCCCCAGCUUGGUGGCCUUAUAGAUACGCUCCAGCUGGCCAUAGAACAUGGCCAUGUAGGCCAAGUAGAGAGCAUAGCGUGGCACCAGAAGAUCCACCUCAAAGAGCAG